rnacentral:lncRNA from 1 species
AACAUUAGGCAUCCAAAUCAAUUAUGCAAAACUGAUUGAUAUGUAACCAAAAGCACUUACUCCGAGACAUAAUAUGUCUCAAUAUCAUCGCAUAUACAAAUAUAUUUUAUAUCUCUCUAAUGCAAUUAAAAUACAUAAUUGCUGGCACAUCCAUAUGAUUGCACGUAGAACUUCUUCACCAAAACAAAUUCCUAUUUUUAUUUAUUUAUCCAUUCUAUGAAUAGAGAAGCAUGUUAAAACGACUUCAUGGAUACAGC